rnacentral:misc_RNA from 1 species
CAGAUCGUAGGCUGCAACUCGCCUACGUGAAGGAGGAAUCGCUAGUAAUCGCAGGUCAGCAUACUGCGGUGAAUACGUUCCCGGGCCUUGUACACACCGCCCGUCACACCAUGGAAGUUGGCCACGCCCGAAGCCGUUACUCCAACCCUCGGGAGGAGGACGUCGAAGGUGGGGCUGAUGACUGGGGUGAAGUCGUAACAAGGUAGCCGUACCGGAAGGUGCGGCUGGAUCACCUCCUAA